rnacentral:tRNA from 1 species
AGAGAUGUAACUCAGUAGUAGAGUAUAUGCUUAGUGUGCUUGAGGUCCUGGGUUUGGUCCCUAGUAUUUCAA